GGAGCCGGCGGGCGGCCGGGAGUCGCCUUCCGCCUCCGGCGCGGGCGGCGCCGGAGGCGGGGAUCCCGCUGCGGAGUUCAGCCCCCGUAGGCCCCGC
rnacentral:tRNA from 1 species